rnacentral:rRNA from 1 species
AAUGAGCGCUGGCGGCGCGCCUAAUACAUGCAAGUCGAGCGAGAAGACGUAGCAAUACGUUUGUAAAGCGGCGAACGGGUGAGGAAUACAUGGGUAACCUACCCUAGAGUGGGGAAUAACUAGCCGAAAGGUUAGCUAAUACCGCGUACGCUCCUUGGACUUCGGUUCAGGGAGGAAAGCGAUGCCGAGGGUAUCGCGCUCUUGGAUGGGCUCAUGUCCUAUCAGCUUGNGGUGAGGUAACGGCUCACCAAGGCUUCGACGGGUAGCUGGUCUGAGAGGACGAUCAGCCACACUGGCACUGCGACACGGGCCAGACUCCUACGGGAGGCAGCAGUAAGGAUAUUGCGCAAUGGGCGAAAGCCUGACGCAGCGACGCCGCGUGGGGGA